rnacentral:lncRNA from 1 species
GUUUACUGCAAUUGGAUUUGUACUGAAAUCUACUGAUGCAAAAUUCAUAACCAACAUGAAUUAAUUUGCUCCUGAUCAUUUCCUACAAAAACUCCAGCUUCUCCCCCUUCCCCUAAUGAUUUCUGCUCAACAGCUGUGGAUUUGCAAACCAAACUGGUAGUACCAGUGCAGACGUUUACAUUUCAAAACAGCAGUAAAAACAGUGAUCUGAGUUGCCUUUGGAAUUUAAAAGUUGCUGCCAGUUUAUCCCAAAUUAAAUUUGUGAAGUUUUUCACGGGCUAUGUUUAAUCUUUGAGCGUUUUUCAUCUCAUUAUCACCUGGGAGAAGUAUUAACCCUCUUUUUGAAGACAGAAAAGAAGCAUAGUAAAUCUGAGACAGCCCUGGGAAUGGCCCUGAUUAAGAAGCACGGUGUGAGCUUCAGGAAGGCACCUGCCUUUUCCUCUUAGCUGAAUCAGCUGCAAGAUCUCAAAUUGGUUUUCCCGGCGUGCCACAGAAUUUAGGUCAAGUUCCCACCGGGGACCAAGCAGUGAGAUGUGCGGCGUUUCUUCUGCUCGGUACCGGCAGUUCUGCAGGAGAGCAGAGCUGGGCACUGUUCCUUUUCCUCUCUGAAGAGUGAGCCUGCCUUGCUGUGGAAGUUUAUGGUAAGCAGCUGGUGUAGCAGAGCAUCCUGCCUGUAAACAUUGACUUUAGUAUGGUUCCUCUGGUUGACAUCAGCAUUCAGUACUGCUUCAGGAGGACCAGCUGGAUUCACUGCUGGGUGCUGAGUCUGAAAUCCACCCAAACUGAAGGAAAAUACAGAGAAAUCCAUCUUUGCUGA